AUGAUUUCAAAGCUCUAAUAUAUGAAUUCAUGCCUAAUGGGAGCUUGGAGAAAUGGUUACAUAAGGAAGAUGGACAAGAAACAGAACCAAGAAAUCUGAGACUAAUACAAAGGCUUAACAUUGCUAUUGAUAUUGCUUCUGCAAUUGAGUACCUUCAUAAUGGCUGCCCAUCAACAAUUAUCCAUGGUGAUCUAAAGCCAAGUAAUGUUCUUUU
rnacentral:misc_RNA from 1 species